CCUGCACUUCCAAAAACUCGGUCAUCAAGAACGAUUCAUAGGAUAGCACUUAACAAACUAAAUUCAGUAAGGGAAGUGCAUAGAAGGUAAUGCAACAUCAUUUUUAGAAACACAGCACAAGAUAAGAUCCAAUUAUAAACACAACACAGCUUUUUAUAAAUAAUAAUAAUAAUAAUGGACUAUAGAAAAUCGUCAUCAGAACCAACAACAAUAAGAACAAGAACUAAAAUGCUAUUUAAUUGUUUAACGUCUUACUAAAACAUAAUACAAAAACAAAAAAUUACUUUCUCCUUUUUCCCAACUUUUACAAGUUGAUCUGCGCCCAACAAAAGCAAUUAAGAAGAAACAUGUACCUAAAAUGGGUUUAGAUAAUAUUUUCAUUUCUAUAUAAUUUUUCCCUUUUCAUUAAGGGUCUACCUCAUGAUGAUGCUUCGGGUCUAGGGCAAACCGUUAUAUUGAUGCAAAUCACCCCACACUUGACCCCCAUUCCAGUUGGCAGCUGCUGUGUUAUCGUUGCAAUUGUUGUUACUAUUGGCUGGGGUUGGAAUCACUUGCCCGAAAGAAUUCCCAAAGAACCACUCCGUCGCUGUAUCACCCCCACUUCCACCUUCUCUUCUUGAAUUACCAACACCACUUGUUUCAGGUUUUGAAAUUUCAAGAUUUUGAAACAAAAUGGGUUGAGGCUUCUGUGCCUGGCUUUCGAUAGGAACUGAAGAAACAAUGCUAUCUUUCUGAUCUUCUCCUCCAAAAAGCAUAACCAAUCUUUGCUGCUGCAAUUUCCAGUGCAAAUCUUGGUUUAUAGAACUCAAAGACUCAAUUGAAGAUGCAAGACUAGUGUGAACACUCAUCGAACUACCACCCACAUCCUGGUGAAUUGCACCGCUAAACCCAGCUGCAACUGAAGAAAGUGGAUAAUUGAAUCCCAUCAAUGAACCAGUGGAGCUCCCAGAUGGAUCAAGGCUGAAACAAGGACUGGUAACACUAACAGCACCUGUAGAGGUGGCAGAAAUAUCCCCAAAUGAAGAGAACUGAUUAUAUAGGCCACCUGGAGAAGGGUUUAGCCUAGGAAAUGAUAAGCCACCUAGAUUAAAAUCCAUGGCUGGAGAAAGACCAUGAAAGAACUUAAAUCCACCGAUCUCUGAGGAUCCGCUGGAGUCCUUGGAAUCACCAGAAAGCCUAGAAGAUGAUUUCAUCUUCUUGUUUUUCCUGCAGCCACCGCCGAUGGGAACGUUGCGUAGGGCUCCUCCUUUAGUCCAGUACCUUCUACAAGUCUUGCAAAAAUGCCUGGGCUGUGUUAGACUAUAAUUGUUGUAGUAGCAGAAUUUUGUGUUGGGCGAGUCGCAUCUUGGACACUUCAUCGCCUGCUCUUGUGGCCUUGUUGAUGCAGUUUUCCGGUUACCGGAGCUUUGGUUCUCUUCUUUGGUGGCUUGCUUUCCCUGAAGAGUAUUCGGGGACAUCAUGGAGACAGAGAGAGAAAGAGAGAGGGGGUGUGGGGGGUUAUGGGUUGUUCAGUUUCUUUUUGCAGAGGCAAAGAUACUCAAUUGAAUGGUUUCAUGCAUGGGGUAGAGAGAUGUGGGAGUGGAUGUUGUUGAUGGGGUCCUGUGAUAUUCAUCAAGAGAGAUUUUGGGGACAAUGGAAAAAUAUGUAUAUAAGCAGCUGGGUUUAGAUGUUAGAUCUGGUGGAAUAAAUAACGCUAAAG
rnacentral:misc_RNA from 1 species